rnacentral:rRNA from 1 species
UACAUAGGGUGCAAGCGUUGUCCGGAAUUAUUGGGCGUAAAGAGCUCGUAGGUGGUUCGUCACGUCGGAUGUGAAACUCUGGGGCUUAACCCCCAGACCUGCAUUCGAUACGGGCAAACUAGAGUUUGGUAGGGGGAGACUGGAAUUCCUGGUGGUAGCGGUGGAAUGCGCAGAUAUCAGGAGGAACACCGAUGGCGAAGGCAGGUCUCUGGGCCAAUACUGACACUGAGGAGCGAAAGUCUGGGGAGCGAACAGG